rnacentral:lncRNA from 1 species
UGUAAUGAGAGUCACUAUAUUUCUUAGCUCCAUUCCAAAAUAUUAACUGGGGAGCUGCUCAUUUAUAAUAGUGCCAAACUUCUGACAGACAGAAAUUAUAAAAGAGGCCCCAGAAAAGCAUCAGAAAAAAAGGGAAACUUUUAAACAGAAAUGGUAAUUUGAAAUACUGACCCUAGGUUUAAAAUUUAGAAAAGGCCUGUUUUCUGGAGCAGUCAUCUGGAUGGUCCAACAGCUCCCUCUACUCCUCCAAGAGGGAAACAUGAAACACAGCAGGGCUGUGUGGAAGUGUGAGCAGCCCAGGCUUGGGGAAAGCCACAUGUUUCCUUGUUCCAGCCAGGAGCUCCAAAAUGGCCUCCAGCCAUCGGUCCUAUUAAAUAACAUAACUCACCUAAAGCAGAGAAUCCAUGGACCCAGUAGAAGUAAAUUGCUGACCCAGUUAAAAUCUAUGGAGAAUGUGUCCUACGGCAUAUCCACGAAUAUACCUUCAAAAGGAAAGAGGUUAUGUCCAAGCGAAGAUGAGGAAUAUCUGAGGUGAAACUU